UUGACCUCAAAUCAGGUAGGACUACCCGCUGAACUUAAGCAUAUCAAUAAGCGGAGGAAAAGAAACUAACAAGGAUUCCCCUAGUAACUGCGAGUGAAGCGGGAUAAGCUCAAAUUUGAAAUCUGGCAGUCUUUUUUUUCUUCUUUGGCUGUCCGAGUUGUAAUCUAGAGAAGUGCUACCUGCA
rnacentral:rRNA from 1 species